GACGUAGGGCGCGAGCGUUGUCCGGAUUUAUUGGGCGUAAAGAGCUCGUAGGCGGCUUGUCGCGUCGUCCGUGAAAACCUGGGGCUCAACCCCAGGCUUGCGGUCGAUACGGGCAGGCUAGAGUUCGGUAGGGGAGACUGGAAUUCCUGGUGUAGCGGUGAAAUGCGCAGAUAUCAGGAGGAACACCGGUGGCGAAGGCGGGUCUCUGGGCAUUACCUGACGCUGAGGAGCGAAAGUGUGGGGAGCGAACAGG
rnacentral:rRNA from 1 species